rnacentral:snoRNA from 1 species
AUCUAUGAUGAUUGGUGAUUAAUUUCUGACACCUCUUGUACGAGAAGUUUCGUCACGGUUUCUUCAUUGAGCACAAUUUGCAAAGCUCUGAGAU